GCCAGCAUGGUGUCAUGGUUUGAGCUCUGGACUAUGACUCUGGAGACCAGGGUUCGAAUCCCUGCUCAGCCA
rnacentral:tRNA from 1 species